CCGGGCCUUGCCCAGGAUCAUCGAGGGCUUCUUCUUCCCGCUGGGGCUGCAGAACUGCUCCAGUUCCUCCUCUGUGCUGCUGGUUGAGUAGGAGUCCUGGUCUGUGGCCAAGUCCACCCAGGGGCACCUUGGAAGACUGGCCUGAUGAUUUAUCUCCAAAAAAUCAGCCACGGAAAAUCCUAUGGGGCGUCAUUCUACUCUGACACACAUGGGCUCGCCAUGAGUCAGAAUCCACUCAGUGGCAACUGGCUUAUUGGUAUUUCAAAGGCCGCUUCCUGAAGGCCUGCACCCUGUGACCUUCAGGGGCUUGUCCUGGGUGCUGGAGCCUCACAGUCAUAUGGAGAGUCACAAAUGCCUGGGAGCGUCCCACCCUGCAGCCAUGGGGGAUGGCUGGCUAGCUUGAGGGCACAAAAGCCCAGCUCCUUGGCCUCAAGGUGAGACAAUGCUGAGGUCUAAUUUAUACUCCAGAGCUGCCCCUGGGGGCCGGGCUGGGGCCUCACCUGAAAUCACGUCCUUGCUUGUCUUCUCUCCCUUCCCUGUCCUGCUCGCCCACCCCCUUGCUGCAUUCUCCUUGGGGGCCGUUAUAGAUUGAAUUGUGUCUCCCCAAAAUGUGUGUCAACUUGGCCAGGUCACGAUCACCAGUAUAGUGUGGUUGUCCUCUAUUUUGUGAUCUGAUGUAAUUAUCCUGUGUGUUGUAAAUUCUAACCUCUAUGAUUUUAAUAAGGCAGGAUUAGAGUUAGUUAUGUUAAUGAGGCAGGACACAAUCUACAGAAUUAAGUUGUACCUUGAGUCAAUCUCUUUUGAGAUACAAAGGAGAGAAGUGAGCAAAGAGGAGACGGACCUACUACCACCAAGAAAGAAGGGCUGCGAGUGGAGUGCAUCCUUUGGACCCGGGGUCCCUGCACUGAGAAACUCCUAGGCCUAGGGGAAGAGUGAUGACAAGGACCUCCCUCCAGAGCUGACAGAGAGAGAAAGCUUUCCUCUGGAGCUGGGACCCUGAAUUCAGAUUUCUAGCCUCUUAAACUGUGAGAGAAUAAAUUCCUGUUUGUUAAAGCUAUCCACUUGUGGUAUUUCUGCUAUAGCGGCACUAGAUGACUAAGAUAGGGGCCCCGUCCUUACUCAUCACUGGCACGUGAAUCCUCAUUUCAAAGGCGGCCCCCAGGAGAGCCCUGGCUAAGCCACUUGUCCAGCUCUUAUAAUCCGUUGCCAUCAAGUUGAUUCCUGCUCAUGGUGACCCCAUGUGUGACACAGUAGGACUGCUCCCUAGGCUUUUCUUAGCUGUAAUCUUUAUGGAAGCAGACUGCCAGGCCUUUCUUUCAUGGUUCCACUGGAUGAGUUCGAUCCGUCAGCCUUUCGGUUAAUAGGCGAGUGCAAACCUUUCGAGCCAAAGCAGUUCCCAAACGCUGGUCUGCAGGCAGUCUUGUUGGAAUCCAGGGUUAGGCCCAGCAGUCUAUUUUUAGCUUGCUCCUGGGGACUGUGGGACCCAGCCGGGUCUGAGAAACCUCUCUAGAACUUCCCAGCAAUCCGCCACCCAGCCCAGAGCACUGAUGUUGGAGUGAGGCUUGGGGUGAGCGCUUUGAGAGCAGGACCUGUGCCUCUUCAUCUCUGACUGGGGACAGAGGCUGCAGAGGAGCACAGAGCGUGCUUGGGACAAGAGCAGGAUUGAGGACGAGGAGGGCUGCAUGUCCCUGAGCCUUCAUCAUGCUGCCUGACCCCUGAAGGAUGGCCUGUAACCCGGGCAUGUGCUCUGAUGGACAGGCACCAGCUCAGGUCACAGGGCCCCACAUGGCCACUGGGGGAAGCCUCUGUGCAGAGAAGGGAUGGGGUGGGGUUGCUCGGGGCCUGCCUGAGGCUCAGUGUGAUGUGAUGUGAGGACACAUGCCUCAGGCCAUGACCAACAAGCAUUUAUCAACUCCCCCACCCCCCUGUGCAGGGCCCUGCGGUGACACAACCAAAAGACUAAACCCAUUGUCAUCGAGUUGGUUACGACUCAUGGCGACCCUGUGUGUUGCAGAGUAGAACUGCACUAUAGGCUUUUCUUGGCUGUAGUCUUUAUGGAAGCAGAUGGGCAGGGCUUUCUUCCGCAGUGCCGCUGGGUGGGUUCUGUUUGCAGCCAAGUGCAAACCAUUUGUUCGCCCAGGGCCCUGCAGGUGACGCAAUGGGGCAUGAAGUAUGUGUCUUUGGUGCCCCCUGGUGUCUGGUUCUGAAGGAGUUGGCUGGGCAGGAUCUUAGUAUGGUAGCAACAUGGAGCUUGAGGACUCUGGUGUCCAUCCUGGCUAACACCCCCGGUUAGAUGAGGAAGCAGCACCCCGGGAGGUCAGUAAGUUGCCCAAGGUGGCAAGUCUCCAACCCCAGCCUUGGACUUCUCCCCCUGCAGUAUCUCACUCAUCUGACUCAGGCCUUGGAGCUGACAGCCCCUCAAACACAGGGGUGCCAGGCUCUGGGUCCAGUGGCCUCCUUGUGAGCUCCUUGGGAGGCUGCAGGUGGGCUGGAUGGGCACUUGCUUUUCUUAAUUCCCCUUUCCACUUGCUCGUUGUUCACAUAUAAAAGCCCAACUGAUUUUUGUGUGUUGACGUCAUAUGCUGCCACCAUGCUGAAUUCCUUUAUUCCUUCUAAUAGCUUUCUUCUGGAAUCUUUGGGGCUUUCCAUGUAGAGGAUCACGUCGUCUGCAAAAAGACGUAGUUUUACUUCCUCCUUCCCAGUCUGGAUGCCUUUUUUCCCAGCCUAAUUGCUCUGGCUAGGACUUCCGGAAUGAUGUUGACUAGCAGGCGUCCUGCCUUGUUCCUCAUGUGAAUGGGAAAGCCCUCAGUCUCUCCUGGCACCUGCUUCUCUGGACUGUGGAGAAGCAGCAGCAAGAGGAAGAAAGGCUGGGAGGUGGCAGGAGUGGCCUUGGUGACUGUGACUCAGAUCGCCCUGGAUGCCAACGAAGCUGCCCCAGCAAUUUCUUCCCCUACAGACGGCAGUGGGUUUCGUUUGGUUUAUGGUCUAGCCAUGGAAACAAUCAGAGCAUCUACUGGGUGCCCAGAGUGGGCGUUCCCCACCCCCCUCCCCCCCGUAUAAGCGUUCUCUCUGGUGUCUACACAAUCAGUAUCAUCAUUCCCAUCUUACAGAAGAGGAAGUUGAGGCCCAGAGAGAUAACUAACUACCUCAAGUUCAGGAGUCGGCAAUGAUGCAUUCAUUCAUUCAUACACCCAGCAUGUGUCAAACACUGUGUAGUAUGUACACCUUCUAGUAAGGUAAGAGCUUCUUGGAAAAGGAAUGAGCCUGUCUCCUCCUGAAAGCUUGACAUGACAUAAUGUUUGAAGGGCCAGGGGACCUCUGCGAUUUUGUCUGUGGGCAAAUAAUUGUGUAGGUCAUCCGAAUUAUUGGGGGUUAUACACAGUGGGGCUGAUCUAGCAACAAGCAUGGAUGUUGGAGUUGGCUCUAGUGUGAAUCCCUGCCAUUUACCAGAUAUGUGACCUUGAGCAAGUUAUUUCUCUCAGUCUCAGCUUACUCAUCUGUAAAAUGGGAAUAACAAGAGCACUUACCUUGUGGUACUGUUUGGAAGAUUUAAAAAGAUAAUAGGUGUGAAGGCCCUGAGCACAGUGCUGGGCCCCUGGUGAGCCCUCAACAGAGGCAGUUGCUAGCACUGCCUACCAUUAUUACCAUCACCUUUUCUGUCCCACAGGGCACAGGCGGGUCCUGGUAGGUGGGGAGGGGCGUUCACCUGAGGCAGGUGUGGAUUGUCUCUUUGAAGCAGGAAGAAGUGGGCCUGAAGCCCUGGACCCCAAGACAUUCUGCCCAACCUCUAGCAGCCCUUGUCAAGAUACUGUAGUCUACACCCUUGGUUGAUAGCACCAAAUGCAUUUUAAGUUCCUGUUGACCUGAAGCUAGUUCCGAAUCAACAGUGGGCUCAGCACUCCACCCAGCAGCUGCUUAGGAACCACAAGCUCCCUCCAAAGGGGAUGGGGGAUAGCACCACCUCCUGCUGUCCCUGCAGAAAGCUCCCCCGUCUUGCUGUAGGGCUGGGGUCAGGUCCACACAGAACUCAAGCUGUCCUUGACAAUGGUCACACAGGAAGUUGCAGUGGGGGACAAUGAGCCAGGGAGGGGCCCUCACCACUUGGUCCAGGAAAGCGUCAAUGCCAACACCUCCCCUCAUGGGUACCAGGACAAAGACAGGGGUCUGCCCCUCUCUCUGUAUCCUGGAGGCUGCACCCUUCCCUCUGGGGGUUUCCCUGGCCGCCCCAAGGUUGCAGGGGACAUCUGUUGCCCACCUGAGUGACCAGAGCACCUGCCAUCAGCACGGCUGGGUCCACUUACCUACUGA